GUGGGGAAUAUUGCACAAUGGGGGAAACCCUGAUGCAGCAACGCCGCGUGAAGGAAGACGGUUUUCGGAUUGUAAACUUCUGUUCUUAGUGAAGAAUAAUGACGGUAGCUAAGGAGCAAGCCACGGCUAACUACGUGCCAGCAGCCGCGGUAAUACGUAGGUGGCAAGCGUUGUCCGGAAUUACUGGGUGUAAAGGGAGCGUAGGCGGGAAGCCAAGUCAGCUGUGAAAACUACGGGCUUAACCUGUAGACUGCAGUUGAAACUGGUUUUCUUGAGUGAAGUAGAGGUUGGCGGAAUUCCGAGUGUAGCGGUGAAAUGCGUAGAUAUUCGGAGGAACACCGGUGGCGAAGGCGGCCAACUGGGCUUUAACUGACGCUGAGGCUCGAAAGUGUGGGGAGCAAACAGGA
rnacentral:rRNA from 1 species